rnacentral:lncRNA from 1 species
UACCGGACAAAAAUCCCUAUUUAUUUGGUCAUUCUUCUGUCAAGAAUGAUGAAGAAAACAGUGUAAAAAAUGGGCAGAAAAUCAAAAAUUAACAACAACACCAAAAAGGAUACAUUUAAUUUGUGAUUCAAGGCUUUGUUUCCAAGAGAUUCAAAGAAGACUUGGGGAAGAUUCUUUCGGUAGCAAAAUUAAUUUCAUGUGUUGUGAAAUUACCAAGGUACAUACUAUUUUGCUCUAAAUUUUUAUAAAAAAAAUGGCAUUAGAGCUAGGUUUAAAAUCCCCAGUUUCAAUCAAAUUUGACUAAUUCAUAUUCUUGAAUAAAAAAAUAUUAAAAUUAAAUAUUGCUUUACCUGUUAGAAAGAAAUCACGAAUAAAUAUCGAGAUUUUAGACCCAACUAAAAUCAACAGACCAACCUUCUGUUCUGGAAUAAGAUUAGAAAGCCAUAAGAUCGGAUCUGAAAUUUAAUUUCAGUUUCAUUUGUUUUUUUUCUGAUGAACCAAAUAUAUGAAAAGAAGUAACAAGCAAUUUCUUUCUCUUCAUAAUUCGGUGUUUACUUUGUUUUAGAGUAAUGUACUUCUUCUAACUUACUAGAAAGUGGAGAAUAUUUUAGGACUACUAAUUUGCAUCAAUUUUUUUGGUAAAGAAAUAAGUCUCUUUUUUAAAAUGAAUUUAAUAGUGACUUUUAUAUCACUAAUGAUUAUAUUAUGAAUAGAUUAGACUUGAUAUAACACUUGUCUAAAUUAGUCCUCAAAUAUUCAUAAAAAGAUUUUGUCUUCUACAAUAAAUUAUGACAUAAGUUGUCGUAUUGACUGGCAUAACCAUUCUUAUUAUUUCUUGGUUCCUAUUUCAGACAUGAUUGAACGGGGACAAACUCAAAUCACUCCAAGUGGAAUUUUAGGAUGUUGAGCAAAGAAACAAAGUGAAAGAGCACGUCGUCGAAGGAUAUUUUUUUGAUGUCAUAAGAUUAUACGAAAUAAUGUCCCCAGGGCGACAUAAAAUAUAUUACAGAAUAAAAGUGUUGUAAAAAAAAAGAGAGAAGAAACUGAAAGAAUUCAAAUCUUUUAAGAUGUUCCCAAGUAUUACAGUUGCUAGUUUUAUACAUUUGUUUGAAUUAAAAUAUAUAGAACUAGAAAACUAUGUAGAAAUCUCGGAUUGGGAAGCUUUAUCUAUUUUUGAAAAUUCUCUCUGUGAUCCUUGGGGCAAGAGAUUAGUCAAUGUUUACCACAAUAUUAGACCUAGCGACCUUUUUGGGUGUAUAUAAGUCAUCUCAAAUAUUUGUGGGAUGACUUUUAUCUUUAAAUUGACUUGUAACAUGAAGCUCUUUAUUAACUUUAUAUUAUAUAUAUUAAG